rnacentral:misc_RNA from 1 species
UCCGGUUUGUCACCGGCGGUCUCCUUAGAGUGCCCAACUUAAUGCUGGCAACUAAGGACAAGGGUUGCGCUCGUUGCGGGACUUAACCCAACAUCCCACGACACGAGCUGACGACAGCCAUGCAGCACCUGUAUUAAAGUCAGUACCAUCCCGUUAAGGACUGGUUUUGUUGUUCAUAUGUCAAGGGCUGGUAAGGUUUUGCGCGUUGUAUCGAAUUAAACCACAUGCUCCACCGCUUGUGCAGGCCCCCGUCAAUUCCUUUGAGUUUUAGUCUUGCGACCGUACUUCCCAGGCGGGGUACUUAUUGCGUUAGCUCCGGCUCUGCAGGGGUCUAUUCCCACAAAGCCUAGUACCCAUCGUUUACAGCGUGGACUAC